GAUGAACGCUGGCGGCGUGCUUAACACAUGCAAGUCGAACGAAGAACUUUAACCUUUUUCUUCGGAUGGAGGUUUUUGUGAGUGAGUGGCGCACGGGUGAGUAACGCGUGGGUAACCUGUCUCAUAUAGGGGGAUAACAGUUAGCAAUGUCUGCUAAUAUCGCAUAAGACCUCCGAGCCGCAUGGCCCGGUGGGAAAAACUCCGGUGGUAUGAGAUGGACUCACGUAUGAUUAGGUAGUUGGUGGGGUAACGGCCGACCAAGCGGACGAGCAGUAGCCGAACGGAGAAGGGGACCAGCCACAUUGGGACAGAGACACGACCCAAACUCCUGCCAGAGGCAGCAGUGGGGACGAAUGCACAAGGGGGGAAACCCAGAUGCAGCGGCGCCGCGAGAGCGGAUAAGUAGUUAGGAAUGUAAAGCUCUAUCAACAGGGAAGAAGAGAAGGUAACCUGACAAAAAGGCACGGCCAAAAAAGGG
rnacentral:rRNA from 1 species